UUUGUAUUCUCUGGCCUAGGUGUUGCUGGUAACACCACAAACAUUAUCAAAGCUGCAGUGACCCCUGCAUUUGCUGCUCAAUUUCCUGGUGUUAACGGCCUUGGCAUUUCGCUGGCUCGUCUAGACCUGGCUCCUGGUGGAGUUAUUCCAUUUCACACACAUCCUGGAGCUUCAGAAGUCUUGGUUGUUACACAAGGAGCCAUAGUUGCAGGGUUCAUUUCAUCAGCUAACACAGUUUAUCUGAAAACCCUUAAGAAGGGUGAUAUUAUGGUGUUCCCUCAAGGGUUAUUGCACUUUCAAGUCAAUGGAGGUGGUUCUUCAGCAGUAGCAUUCGUUAGCUUCAGUAGUCCAAGCCCCGGUCUGCAGAUUCUGGACUUUGCACUUUUCAAAAAUGAUUUGCCUACAUCAUUGGUCGCAUCGACUACUUUCCUCGAUGUUGCUCAGAUCAAGAAACUUAAGGGUGUUCUAGGUGGUACUAAUUAAUUUAGGUUGUGUGGAGAUAUGUACCAGUGUGCAUGUAUUUCAUUUCCUUUUAUUCUCGAUCUGUUUUGUAUGAGAAGGCCUGUCAGUGUACUUAGGAUUACUCAGGUGCGUAGCGGUUUCUGAUUCAUCAAUAAAUGUAGUUUAUUUAUGCUUGUAUGAGUCUUAUCAUGUCCUCCAGUAUGUUGGACCGGUGAGGCAACAAUUAUAUUGAAGGGAAGUGCCAUAUUGCAUCUUAGUUAACCUGAAAUCUAAAAAUUCAUCUGCAUAAGCUAUUCGAUAUGCCAACUGAUUUAUAUGCUCUUAAAACAUAUUUAGUAAUCGAUCAUUGUAUACUUUUUGAAAUGAGAGAUCAUAUAUUGUAUAUUUUGUAUGGCAUUGUUUGGUAAAGUUACUGUAUCAUAGGAUGCAGUGAACUGUAAGAUCGAAGGCACCUAACUUGUAUAAGAAACUUGCUUAUAACUAGCUUUCAUAUGCAGAUUAACAAAUGCACGAAUGCUUUACAGGAAAAGUAUGCUGCAUAUUCAUAUAUACCAGAAAUACUGAUGGUUUUACCAACAGUGCCAAUUUGCUUUGCACUACAGCCACUACUGGUACAACCGGCCAGUGAAUUAUACUGAACUUACUAACUGUUGUUGGUAUAUAUACCGCAAGCAUAAGUAACGAUCUCGUAGACUGUUUUCCGGUAGACCGACAUCCGGGCUACCUCGCCAUGGUGAAAGAUCAUCGGUACCACAUCGGGAAUGUGCUCUCCCAAGCUCCAUAAGAAGACAUCAUAAGAAGAUAUAUGUGUAUUUAGUCCCACAUCGGAAACAUAAUAUGUGAGGGAACCUUCUUUAGCUAUAAAAGGAAGGCUUCCCAUAUGUAGCAAAGAUGAUGGAUGAUGAUCCUUACUCACUCCAUCUUGGAGAGCUCUUGUAACACCAAGGGCCUAUUGGCCAUGAUAGUAGCUUAAGUGGAUGUAGCCAUGUCCUCCGAUGACAUGGUGAACCAUUAUAUGUCCUUGUCUCUUGUUCAUGAUCGUCUAUUGUACAUGCUCCACCGUGAUUCUACAUAGUCUCCGGGAUUAUGCAGAAACACUAACUCUUUGCAGUAGAAAUGCCAAUCAAUUGCACUAAAACAACUAUUGCAUUGCACUAAAGGCACCAGCAAUUUGCAGUAAGAACAACAAUGCUAAAUGUAUAAUAUACUCCACUGUGGCUUAAAUUCUGUAAGCAAUGACCAAUGUGGUGUUGGUGUCAUCUUCUAAUGACGAGUUUAAACUCUUGAAGAAUGUUACAGUAAAAGUUACAGAGAGACACAACUGGGGAAUAUACUUUUUUUUUUUUUUUAAAAUUAAAUAGAGGAUUAGGCGAUAUUAGCUCCUCUGCAAUAGCCGAUUUAUAUUUAUUGAAGAUAAAAUAUAAAAAACAAGUACAAAAGGGAAGGGGGACCAAACCAAAACCUUCCCCAACAAAAAUAAUGCGUAGAAAGUCUCUCAAAUUCAAGAGAACUAAAAAGAAAAAAUCAAAUUGAAAAAUACUAAGCUUCUCAGCCGAGUAAAAAUAAAGGAAGCUGCUCUCAAGAUACCAGCCAACAUUCAUGACCAACAUAUUAAGAAUGCCUAUAAUAUGGAAAACCCAAAGCAUCCAUACGUAAGUAAGGACAAACCUCAGGAGGAGGAGUAGCAUGCCAGCACAAGGAUGAGGAAGCCAACCCUAGAUUAGCAAACCUAUCAGCAACUGGGGAAUAUACUUUACUAAUAAUGAAAUCUAAAAACGCUAAAACAAGGGAAUUUCUGAUAUCCACAAAAUUCCCAUCUUCUGGAACUUUUUCUAUAGCUGUCAAAAUGUCUUCUUAUGCCCACAUGAAUAUCUUUCCCCCAUGUUCACAAGGGCCACAAUCAUAUUUACCAUUUUGCAACCUCUGAAAUGUUAAAACACGACAUUCCAUUCUCAACAUCCAUAAGCAAGCUAGCAACAAAUAAAAUAAACCUCUGCAGUACUAUAUGCUGAUAUAAUUAAGCUAGCUCAUCAUGGUCUUUACAAAUGGUAAUUAAUAAGCUGGCACAAUAGCAAAAACUGGUACAUUUAUACUUCCCAAAUUGGAGGUUACUUAGAACAUCAUACUGAUGAAGCUUCAAUAAUAAAUGUCAUGACAGUAAUAAUAAAGAUAAUUUCUAGAGUUACUGCAUUUUCAAAAACAGAAAGAGGCUUCUUGUUUUCAUGAGGUAAAUAUCAUGCAUAGUCACAUGCAUAUCAUAGCUCGAUUUGUCUGUUUCACCAAGGUUUACGAUCGAGAUUGUAUACAUGUGAAUUCUUCAUGGGCCUAUUCCAAACAACCAAUUGCAAUGGCUCAAGAUAUUAUCACUAUCCCACUAUAUAUAUGAUCCCAAUUUCCCUAUCAAGAAAUUGAAAAACAUAGUCCACCAAAUCUAGAAUUAACGCAGUGACUUGCACCAAGUGAUAAUGAUUUUCCCUAUCUUCUUCACAUUUUUGCUCCUCCUCUCCUCAUCCCAUGCUUCUGUGCAAGACUUCUGCGUAGCAGACUUGACAGCUCCAGAAGGCCCUGCAGGCUACUCCUGCAAGAAGCCUGCAAAAGUUACCGUAGAUGACUUUGUCUUCUCUGGUCUAGGCAUUGCUGGUAACACCACCAAUAUCAUCAAAGCUGCAGUCACACCUGCAUUUGCUGCUCAAUUCCCUGGUGUUAAUGGCCUCGGCAUUUCGCUGGCUCGUUUAGACUUGGCUGUUGAUGGAGUCAUCCCCUUUCACACGCACCCCGGAGCUUCAGAAGUCCUGAUUGUUGUGGAAGGCACAAUCUGUGCAGGCUUUGUUUCCUCGGAUAACACAGUUUAUCUACAAACUCUUGAGACGGGUGACAGUAUGGUCUUCCCUCAAGGUUUGUUGCACUUCCAAGUCAAUGGAGGUGAUACUCCAGCC
rnacentral:lncRNA from 1 species